CCCCUUCCAGGAUCGCAUAUGAAGAGUUUCCCGAACUCUACUAGUAUCGGCUAUAGGAGGGAAAGUCAAGCAGAGGCAUAUCCAUUCCAUUCCUAGUUUGGACAGUGGUUAGCAAGUGGAAGGCAAUCUGUCACAAGU